CUACGGGCGGCAGCAGUGGGGAAUAUUGGACAAUGGGGGAAACCCUGUUCCAGCAAUGCCGCGUGUGUGAAGAAGGCCUGCGGGUUGUAAAGCACUUUCGGUUGGGAGGACUGCUUCUAGCACUAAUAUUGUUGGAAGUUGACGUUACCUUCAGAAGAAGCACCGGCUAGCUCCGUGCCAGCAGCCGCGGUAAUACGGAGGGGGCAAGCGUUGCUCGGAUUUAUUGGGCGUAAAGGGUGUGUAGGCGUCUCUUCAAGUCAGGUGUGAAAUCCCAUGGCUCAACCAUGGAACUGCACUUGAUACUGUCGAGAUUGAGCUUAGGAGAGGUAAGCGGAAUUCCAGGUGUAAGGGUGAAAUCUGUAGAUAUCUGGAGGAACACCAGUGGCGAAGGCGGCUUACUGGCCUAAAGCUGACGCUGAAACACGAAAGCUAGGGGAGCAAACAGGAUUAGAUACCCGUGUAGUC
rnacentral:rRNA from 1 species